CUAAAACAGACUUUCUGUGGUGCAGAUGCAGUGACUGAGACUGGGAGAUGGGCACUCCCAUUGCCUUGGGAUGUGUACCAGAAGAAGGUGUUGAGCCUACUGGUCGACAUCCGCAAUCGCAUGAAAGAAGCACAACCUGCCUUCAGCUGUCCACAUUGAGAGGAUGGAGACCAUGGAGGAUUUUGAGUUGGAGGAGUAACGCCUCUCUGAUGCACAGGCCUUUGAUACCCUGGUGCUGCAUAUUUCAAAAAUCGGUGGGCGGAACACCAAGGACUGUGUCCACAAAGUCUUGGACAGGUAUCUGCAACAUUUUUUUUUUCUGGGUGUGGAUUGGCUGUGGAACAGACUGCAUGUUCUCAUUUGCCUUUCUUCUUUUUGCGCAUGUCAUAAAAGGUGAAAAUUAAGUGAAAAUACGAGUUCACAACAAAAUGCAUUGUGAGCUUAUAGCCCACCUGUUUUUGACAAGGUGAGGGAUAAAAGGAGGACCACCUUAGAGGACACUGAUCAACUAGUCUAACGGGUCUAUGAC